UAGACUUUUGAAAUAGUUUAUUAUACCCCCCGCAACAAGUUGUGUGUGUGUGGGGGGGUAUACUGGAAUCGGGAUGUCCGUCUGUCUGUUCGUCCGUCUGUAGACGCAAUGGUUUCCGGGCUCUAAAGCAUUAUCCUUUCCACCCACCGUCACCAUAUCAUAUAUAUGGACUACCCAUGGGAUGAAGAUGUUCCCUAUCGAUUUUGGGGUCAAAAGGUCAAAGGUCACGCGCACUGGACAUCAAAGUAGCAAUAUGGUUUCCAUUUAAAUUUUUUAACGGCUUUUUUCAUCGCAUGGAGAUGCUGUGUUCCUAGAUACCUUUUGGAUCAUAAUAUUGAAGUUUUACCUAUUUCCAACACCCUUUAGGAGAUUGGGGUAAGCGAGGGGUAUUCUUAGUGAGCAUUGCUCACAGUACCUCUUGUUUUAACACGUUGUUUUUUUUUACAAUAACUAUCGGAAAAGACUAACAAAAUCGAUGUUCCUAUCAUGCAUAAAUCUAAAUAAAUCAUUGAUUUUGCAAAAUCUGAUGACAUCAAAGGAGGGUGGAAUUACUUUAAGUUAUGUUUAGUGCUGUGUGUAUAUAAACAUGCACUCAUAUAAUUAUAUCUUCCCUCUUCCAGGGGGAGACAUAUUGUAUUUGUACUUUCUGUCCGUCCUUCCUUCUGUCACAAAAUCUUGUGAACGCUUCUCCACCUAUAUGGCUUAUCAGAUAGACUUGAAACUUUGUACAAUGCUUCAUUGUCAUUUGUAGAUGUGAAUAUUGUUGGGACGGGAGGAUCCAAUUGUUUUCCUAAGAGUUAUAGUGGAUCUAAGAGGGGUGGAAGAUGUAAAAUAGCUUAUGAACUCUUCUCCUCCCAUAUGGCUUAUUGGAUAGACUUGAAACUUUGUACAAUGCUUAAUUGUCAUUUGUAUAUGUGCAUAUUGUCGGAAUGGGAGGAUCCAAAGUUUUUCCUAAAAGAUAUAGUGGAUCUAAAAGGGGUGGAGGAUGUUAAAAUACCUUGUGAACACUUCUCCUAUAUGGCUUAUCUGAUAGACUUGAGAAUUUGUACAAUGCUUCAAUGCCAUUUGUAGAUGUGCAAGUUGUAGGGACAGGAGGAUCCAAUUGCUAUCCUUAAAGUUAAAGUGGAUCUGAGGGGUGUAGGGUAUAAAAUAGUGUGUGAACGCUUCUCCUCCUAUAUGGCUUAUCAGAGUUCAUGUCUAUCUUCCUGCCCAUGCUUUCUCCUCCAUACUAUUCAAUACAUUAAGGGGGAUGUUUCCUAUAUUUUACGAAUUAAUUGAUUGAUUGACAACAAACUUGGUACAGUUGUACAGCAUAUAUAAGGAGUAGAUUACCCCUAUUGAUUCUUAGGUCACAUGGUCAGUCCACUCUUGACAUAGGAAGGUAUUGUCUGCUCAAUAUUUUGAAUUGGUGUAACUACUAUCAAUUAAAUGAGGCACGGGUAUAACCCUUUCAAUUUUGCAACUUGGGGGGCAUAUGUGUUUUAGAAACAUCUCUUGUGUUGAAUUAUAUGAAUUACAGUUUUUAGUGUGCUCAGUUUAGAGAAUAGCAUAAAAGUAUUUGAUAAUUAAAUAUCUUGCAGAUUGGCAGUUUACUCCAUGCACCGACAGGAAUGAUAAACUGUGAUAUUCGUAAAUGGAACUGGGACACGUUCUAAAUAUACUCAGGGACAGAAUGAUGUGCAGCAAGGCUCGUCAUGGAUUUUACCAAAUACAGAACACUGCAAGGCUUGCAAAAUGAAGACCUCAGUAAAAAAAAUUCUAAAUUAUCCACUAAUGGCAGCUCACUACCUGCCCCUUGUGAUGUUAAAAGAGGCCGUUGUUCUCAUUUGUUCCAAAACAGGAAUGGCAUAUGAGGAGGCCAACAGAAGAUGCACCUCCACUGACCUCCACGGAGUGUGCACUCACAAAACGAAUAAAUUAUUAUUUCUUUUGUUUGUAAUUGUAUAUUGUCAACAAGGUCAAAGGCACUUGAUCCGAUGCCAAACUUUUGCAUUUCUUUUGCUUUGUGGUAAAUUUUCUUCAGCAACAUUAACAUUGUUUAAAUUGUUUUCUUUGGAGAGUUUACAUGUACACAUGGAUAAUUUGUAUAUUAGAAUUAUAGCAUUGUUUAAUUCAACUCAUUCUUAUCAUAGAGGUUAUUAUAUACUGCAGGCAACGACUUGUAAAGGGUAUACUGUUUUAACUUACAUGCAAAGCAGUAUUAUGAAACUCUGUAGUUGAUAAGGACAUAUAUCACAUAUCGAUAUGCAUAUUUACAGGAAACUCUGAUGUAUUUUAAAUCUGAACGUUAAUUUAAAAGUGGGGAGAAAUAGCAUUGGAUGAAAAAAGACACAUAUGAAGAAAAUUAUUCCAUACAUAAAUACUUUUUAGCUCACCUGAGCUGAAAGCUCAAGUGAGCUUUUCUGAUCGCCUGUUGUUCAUUGUCUGUCCGUGAUUAAACAUUUUAUAUUUUCUCCAGAAGCACUGGGCCAAUAAUAACCAAACUUAGCCAAAAGUAUCCUUGGGUAAAGGGCUUUCGAGUUUGUUCAAAUGAAGGGCCAUGCCCUCUUCAAAGGGGAGAUGACCACAAAAAUAGGGUGGGUCAUUUAAUUUGUUUAUCAAGAACCAUUGGGCCAGAAGAGCUGAAAUGUACAUGAAAGCUUCCUGACAUAGUACAGAUCCAAGUUUAUUGAAAUCAUGGCCUCCAGGGGUUGUAUGGGGCCACAAUAGAGAAUCAAAGUUUUACAUACAAUUAUUCAGGAAAACUCUUUCAAUAUGAGCCAAGGUGGCUCAGGUGAGCGAUGUGGCCCAUGGACCUCUUGUUCAACAUAUAGAAUAAAUAGUUAUGUUGUAUUUCCCAUGGAACAUUGAAACGUUUAAUGCGUUUACCAAUUAAUCACUGAAAGAAAGAUAAAAUUGUUGUUUCAUAUGUUUUAUGAAAACUUAAAGAUGUUUCAUUUCUUUUCAUGAAAGACCCCUUAAUUACCCAGUAAUAAAUAAUCAAUUCUUAACAGAUUAUGUAAAUUUGAUUUAUAUUAAGGAUGUUUGAUCUGAUUACCCAUCAUUAUCAAUCUGUCUAAUAUGGCCAUCAUGUGUUACUAUUAAUUGCUACGCAAUCUUGGAGCAUGAGGUAGAAUGCGAGCCAGCUCUUUCAUAAGUACAUGUAUCUGGAAAAUAUUUCAAUGUCAAAGGUUACAACAAUGUGAUAAUUUAAUCAUUGUAUGUCUAAGGUGUUGAUAAUAAAACUGUUAUCUGUUCAA